rnacentral:rRNA from 1 species
AAUGAACGCUGGCGGCGCGCCUAAUACAUGCAAGUCGAGCGAGAAGACGUAGCAAUACGUUUGUAAAGCGGCGAACGGGUGAGGAAUACAUGGGUAACCUACCCUCGAGUGGGGAAUAACUAGCCGAAAGGUUAGCUAAUACCGCGUACGCUUCUUGGACUUCGGUUCAGGGAGGAAAGCGAUGCCGAGGGUAUCGCGCUCUUGGAUGGGCUCAUGUCCUAUCAGCUUGUUGGGAGGUAACGGCUCACCAAGGCUUCGACGGGUAGCUGGUCUGAGAGGACGAUCAGCCACACUGGCACUGCGACACGGGCCAGACUCCUACGGGAGGCAGCAGUAAGGAAUAUUGCGCAAUGGGCGAAAGCCUGACGCAGCGACGCCGCGUGGGGGAUGAAGGUCUUCGGAUUGUAAACCCCUUUC